UUUUGUUUUUUAAUGUUUAUAGAUUUUAUAGUUCAUAUGAGCUGCUGUAAAAACAAACCUCCAUUUGUCACAAACGAUACUGCUCGAGAAGACGGUGGAAGCAGAAACCGUUUGGACGGCGCCUACAUACACGUGUACAUGCAGUUUUCGAAUGGAUCGAAACGAACAGAGACAAAAAUGGGGUGCCGUCCUGUGGCGCAUGGAGACCCGUUCUUGCGAGCCGCACUUGACGACGCGCUCGUGUCCGUCCGAUCCCCAUCUUGCGGCUGCUGUUCAAAACGGGACGAGACGUUGGCGCUGGACCUUGGCCCUGUUUGGAUACUCUAACUCAGUUAGAGGUUAAAGUUAAAUUCUAACCUUGAACCAACCUGAACUAACUCUAACCAAAAAGGUGUUUAGAUGGCAGGGUUAGAUUGACAAUAAAUGCUCUUCCUCAAUCAUUUGGCUACUUUGAGCCCUAUUUCCUGCUGGAUUUGGCGGAGCGAGCCCUGGCCGAGAUAGACUGGGACGCGCUCGGCAAGGAGCCGCGCUGGCCUCUCGCGCGGCCCGCCAGCCGAAUCUGCCGUCCCUGCGGAGUCACGCUGGCCGAGGCCGACGAGAAUGGGCCGCACAAGGAGCCGCGACUGCUUACCGGCGGGCGGAAGGGGCGCGGGGAGACAAGAGGGUUGGAACGGGAGGAUAGGGCGGGGCUACUUACCGACGGUGGACGGGAGCGCGGAUACGGCGAGGCGCCUUCAUAGACGGUGUGAGAGGAGGAAGGGAAAUGACAAAAACCUUCGAGGAAAUGGGGAGGGAUCUGUUGUGGGAAGAGCGAGAGAAAAAUGUGUUUUUUUAGUGGUCCCAAGAACUAACCCAAAUAAGCACCUUUUGAGUGGGUUAGAUUUUUUGAAUGGGUUAGAUGCAUCUAACCCAAACUAAUCUUCCUGUUUAGAUAUUUUUGAAUUACUUGAGUCCAAACUAACCCAAACUAACGAAACCAAACAGGGCCCUCAUCCGGUCUUCCUGCCGCGUAGUGAGAGGUCGGUCGGUAUUUGUUUACCCACCACUGCCGUAUUAUCCGGCCGGCCACGUUUUUGCGUGCAUUUCUUUCCCGGCCUGACAAUUACGUCCGUGUACCCAAUGUAACUCUCAACAUUAGGGGCUGAAAAGUCAUUCGCACUAACCGUUAGCAGCAGCUUACGUGGUGGAGAGGUAUCUGGACCACUUGUCAGCGAGUGGUCGUGUGACCUUUUGUCGGUUUAGUUCUGCAAAAUCCGCUUUUCCUCUGACGUACGAGGCCACCUGUAAAAUGCUGAAUCAGUCCCUCUAGCAGGAGCGAAAUUAUUAUACUCAAACAUAACGGGUAAAACAGAGUGAAGAUAACAUUGACCAGGAGCUCGUGUAAACAUCCGGAAGGAGUAUGUUUUAAAAUUUUGCCGGCUUGUUAUUUGAAAUCGAGCACAGCCAAACAUCCUGCAAGAUGGAGAACCAGAGAUCCCCUUUAUUUUCGUCCUUGUUCUAAGUGCGUAUGGAUCCUUUAAUUUGAGUUUUUUCUUUCUAUUUCAGCAAUUUGCACAUCUCAGUAGAAAGAAUAUCACACCAAAGGCACAUUUCGUACCAUCAAUGUAUGUAUUCUUUCUCAUGAAAUGUUGAAAAACUACUACUACUACUCAUCAUUUACGACUCCAGAAAAGAAAAGAAAAGAAAGCAGAAACCAUAUAUAGAAACGAACAUGCUUAACAAACGGUUUGGACUAAAACAUGCGACAGCACUGUCCAAGAAUAAAAGUCAAGAGAUGCCUUUCUUUCACCACGAGCACGGAGACACCUGUCCCCAGCAUUUUCCCUCUCCCGUAGAAUCAUCCUAGUCCCUGAUAAUUCUUUCUUUUUUUGCACAUCGUCCCUGAUAAUAAUUCUUUGAAACCUGAGGCCAUCGUCGGCAUUUUGGGCAGGGAACAACGGCCGGAGCCGUUAGCGCGCCGUCACCGCGAGGCAGGCCACCCGUUCCUGACUCGUAUGCCAGCCACACUUUUUUCCCCUGGAUCUGAUGAAUCCAUCCUGAUCCUGCCACCAGCAGCGGCCGAACUAGAAUUAUUGUGAGUGCGAGGAGAGCAUUGCCAUGUGGCGGAUUCAAAACCUUCCCCCCUCCACCCACCCGGCCACCCCCAUUUAGAUUUGAACAUUUUUAAACCACCACCACCACGUAAUUCGUCCCGGAUACUAAAAGCGAGGCGCCUUAAUUCCAUUAAAAUAUUCCUCCCCCACUCUCUCUCCCUCUCUCUCUGGUGUGGUGACUCUGUCCCUGUCGCUGGCUCUCUCACCCCGAGGGAAAGAGAGAGAGGGAAGGAGGCGCACGCGAGCUGCUGCGCCUGUGGAGGAGGAGCCACGCCCACGGCCACGGGGUUACGCGUCUCCACGGGUUCAGGGAGAGGGAGCUCGCGCGCGCUGCCAUUCCUGAGGCCUCGGCGGUUUCCCAGAUCGGCUAGUCCGCUGGUGUUUUUCUGCGGUUUUCUGUAGAAUUUUGGGAGUUGUUCGCCGAGAGUGGAUUGGCGCUGGGAGGAGGUCUGUGGAUUUGAGGUGGUCAGCGCGGAGAUCCCGUCGGAGGCGGGAGUUUUGGGUCCUCCGCGGGGUGAUCUCGGGCGCGCCGGCCGGCGAUGGCGUCGGUGGAGGUGCGGUCCGUGCGGAAGUCCGCGGCGUUGCGCCCGCGCGGGCCCGCCAAGGUGCAGCCCGCGCGGUCCAUGUCGCUCGACUACAAGUACUCCGCCGCGCGUGCUGGCGUCGAGCCCGGCCCGGCGCCCAACGGCGUAGGGCGCCGGGCUGCGGCGGACGAGGAAGGGGAUGCGGUGCCGCCCGAGGGAGACGCCGACUCUCCCUACAGCUCCAAGGCGACGACGACGGAGGAGGAGAGUGCUGGGGGUGGCGGGGAGGCCGAUUCAGCGUCCUCUGCAGCCGCGGCGCCGCGGAGUCCGUCGCCGGCGGCAGCUGCUGGCCCCUCACCGCGCGACACCAGAUGGGGUGACACCAGCUCCUACGGUGCUAAAAAGGUGGCUUUUCCCCCUUCGUUUUUGCCCUUUCUGUUUUCCGACACUUCUGGAAUGCCAGAAUUUAUAUGGAUAUAAUGCUUGAAAUUUGGUCAGCUCCGACUGAAGUGUUUUGUGGUUUCUGAAUCUGUGAACACCUAUUAUUCCGAGUUUUCUUUUUUGGUAGUUUGAUUGAAUUCCUGCAUUAACCAGGUGUAGAGCUUAUUUCCAGUAACCUGUAAAAACAAUUGUAAAGUGCUAGGCUGAGGUACAUAGAUGCCAAAGAUGUAAUUCCAUUUCGAGAUGCUUUAGAGCAUCUACAACNNNNNNNNNNNNNNNNNNNNNNNNNNNNNNNNNNNNNNNNNNNNNNNNNNNNNNNNNNNNNNNNNNNNNNNNNNNNNNNNNNNNNNNNNNNNNNNNNNNNNNNNNNNNNNNNNNNNNNNNNNNNNNNNNNNNNNNNNNNNNNNNNNNNNNNNNNNNNNNNNNNNNNNNNNNNNNNNNNNNNNNNNNNNNNNNNNNNNNNNNNNNNNNNNNNNNNNNNNNNNNNNNNNNNNNNNNNNNNNNNNNNNNNNNNNNNNNNNNNNNNNNNNNNNNNNNNNNNNNNNNNNNNNNNNNNNNNNNNNNNNNNNNNNNNNNNNNNNNNNNNNNNNNNNNNNNNNNNNNNNNNNNGUCCAGGCUGUCCGACCCAUAUGUGGGGUGGAUAUGGGGCUGCCCGGACGCGUCUGCCAUGUUGGACCGGCUGGCCGGCGUUGGAUCCUUGUCCUUGCGGCUUCGGACUCCGAGUCGGAGGUCAAUGUGCAAGGCCGGGGUCGAGGGACGAUCGUGCCCGCCGUGAAAGGGAGAAGGCAUGUCGCGUAGCGGCGGCCGGCGACGAGGAUGCCCAUGCUUGGAUCCGGGCUAAGCGGCGUGCCCGAGCUGCCCGUGACCUCGUUGUGGAGCAAACCCGGGCCGUCCGUGCCCUCGCCGGCCGCCCCCCCAAGGAGGAGGAUCUGAACAUGUCCAAUGCCGUGUCCGACACCUCCAGCUCUGGCGCCGAGCAGAUCCGCCUCGACCCCUACUGUGUCUUUGACCACUACUUUCGCGAGCACGAGGACAAGGGCAAGGGCAACCGUAGGUGAUGAACUAGACUAUGUAUAUCUAUAUAGUGUUAAUUUAGUUAUGAUGAAGUAGUAGAACAUGCCAUCAUUUUGGUAGUCUCUCAUGGUAUGUACAACUCCCCUAUGUAAUGUCCGGACAAUGUGAACUAUGUGCAAUGAAGUACAUGUGUUGAAAUCUACGUUGCACGUUUUUGUAUGGAUUUGAGGGUUUGCAUAUGAGGGGACGACUGCACACACGGACAAAUGAGGGGCGGGCCGGCGCUGUCCGCAGACGCUUAUGGGGUCAUAUUUGCCCAGUCCGGUUGUAGAUGGUCUUAGGUUGUUGUCCACGGUACUGCAGUUAUAAAUGUUGCCACUUGACGUUGCAAUGCCAGGAAGGCGCCAUGCGAAGUUUUGGCGAGAGUUCAAGGAAUGUGUUCUUCUCUAGUUCUUGACUUCUAGGUUGUUAUCAUUCUUAUACAAUUGAUAUGCUUGUAUCUGUUUUUCAACUUGGAGUAAGACACUAAUUUACCUUCUACCUAACACUUGUUGCAGAAGCAUAGAGUUUUUUGCCAGCUUCCAAAUGGUGAUUGGGCCUUAUGCACCGUGAUUACUACCUCUGGUGACGAGUCUGUACUAAAGGUUCCUGAAGGAAAAGUAAGCUACCUAAAAUCUGCGUGGAAGAUCUUAUUAUCUCUUUGAAAUUAUGAUAGUUUGACUCUCCUUCUUCCAAUUGAAGGUUCUAAGAUUGAAAACGGAGAGCCUUCAACCUGCAAAUCCUGAAAUUCUUGAUGGAGUGGAUGAUCUUAUGCAGCUGAGUUAUCUAAGUGAACCAUCUGUGCUGUACAACUUGCAGUACAGAUAUUCACAAGACAUGAUUUAUGUGAGGAUAGAUUAGAACCUUGUCUUUUCUUCUGGAGUUCAAUGAAUUUCUUAGUGAUAUGCUAUUGCAUUGUAGACUAAAGCAGGUCCAGUUUUGGUGGCCGUCAACCCUUUUAAGAAGGUUGCACUGUAUGGUAAUGGGUAUAUUAAAGCAUAUAAAAACAAAACAAUGGACAGUCCACAUGUGUAUGCAAUAGCAGAUUCAGCGCUUCGUGAAAUGAAAAGAGGUCAGUCUAUUAGUACAUCUUUCUUGCUGGUAUGAUCUUUCAAUUUUCUGAGGAAAAUCAUCUACAUCUAUGCCUAACUAAUUGAUAUGUUCAUUUGCAGAUGAAGUUAACCAGUCCAUUAUUAUAAGGUUGGUAUCUUCUAUUUUUUCAGUAAGAACUAAGAAGCAUUCAGUGGGAUUCAUGUUGUAAUAACUUUGCACCUGAAUUGAUAUGUACUCCCUCCGUAAACUAAUAUAAGAGCGUUUAGAUCACUACUUUAGUAAUCUAAACACUCUUAUAUUAGUUUACAGAGGGAGUAAUAGAUAGCGGAGCCACAUGAAAUAUGUAUUUUUGGGAUUGGUACUUUGCAUUUUCUGCUACUUUUUUCUGUCAGCUGAACAGAAUAAAUAGUCAUGUAACCAGUGAAAUGUACUUAUAUUAAUCGUCUUAUGCAUUGUCCAUCAUUUCAGUUCACACUGCGAGGGUCCUACCGGGAUAUUAAAAUAUGCAUGGUUGUUUAUCAUACAAAAAUUGGAACUUGAGUAGUCCACUUCCAACAGAUGCAAUAGGCACACGCCAACCCUAUAAUUGUCUCAUGCAUUGUCCAUGAUUUCAGUUCACACUACAAGGGUCCUACUGGGAUAUUAAAAUAUGCGCGGUUGUUUGUCAUACAAAAAUUGGGACUUGAGAAUAGUCCGGUUCCAACAGAUGCAAUAGGCACACACCAACCCUAUAAUCUCAUGUACCUGUUCCUUUUCCUUCACAUGGUUCACCAGUAAGUAAUAAAUGUGGUAGAUUUUUCUGCAUCGCCUUAGAUUGGAAUAAACAGUGAGUAGUACACUGCAAAAAUCUAAUAAAUUUACCGUAGCUGAUUUAAAAGGUUCACUGUGCAUGAUAACUUACACUUCAGUUUGCACUUUCAACUUUUUUCUUUCAUUGACAUUAUUUAAGCAAUUGUCUUUCUUUUUUACUUAAACCAUGAUAUGGUGAGCAAAUGAAUGAGUGAUGCCAUUUUCUAUGUAGUGGUGAGAGUGGAGCAGGAAAAACAGAAACUGCAAAGAUUGCCAUGCAGUAUCUGGCUUCACUUGGAGGUGGAAGUGGCAUAGAGUAUGAGAUCCUACAGACUAACCCAAUACUCGAGGCUUUUGGCAAUGCAAAGACAUUAAGAAAUGAUAAUUCAAGUCGCUUCGUAAGUUUUUUCUUAUGAUUAUCACAAUACUGUAACGCGAACAAAGUUUGGCUAAUAUUCUUAUAUUUUUUAUUACAGGGAAAGCUCAUCGAAAUUCAUUUCAGUACGACUGGAAGAAUAUGUGGUGCCAUGGUUCAAACAUGUAUGCAGAUUCUACCGAGUGUACCUGCUUUAUACCAUUAGCAUUUUCUGGUUUAAAUUUAAUUUUAUGUUUUUUAUUGAUGAAAUUUUCUAAUGAUCUUGCUGCAUGCACAAUUGGACAGUUCUACUCGAGAAGGUAACUUCUAAUUUUGUGGUUAUCUUUUUUCUCCUAAACACUGUUUUAGGAUAAGUAACCUAAUCCAAACUUUUCCACUAUGGUAGUCAAGGGUUGUACAGUGUGCAGUCGGUGAGCGUUCCUACCAUAUAUUUUAUCAGCUAUGUGCUGGUGCUCCAACGACACUCAGAGGUACAUAAUCUAUUCAUCCUGUCUGAAUUUGUUAGUCGCUGGCUUAUUUGGUUCAUACAGUUGUACAGGUGAUGGCAGCCUAGUAUAUCCUCUCAAACUUCUUUUGAACAUAGUCCUUUUCGUCCUGCUUAUUACAAGAACUACUAUUUGUACUGCUCGGCUUUCAACAUAGAUACUACAGUGUCUUCCAUCGACAAUUGACUUUGCUCCACACUUUUGCAUUGCACAAUACUUAGUUGUACAUGGUUUUCUGUGCAAUGUUUUGAUACAGAGAAGUUGAAUUUGAAGAAGGUGGAUGAAUACAAAUAUCUGAAACAGAGUUGUUGCUAUUCAAUUGCUGGCGUGGAUGAUGCCGAAAUGUUUCGUGCUGUAACGGUAUAAUAUACUGUUGCCUCCUAAUUAAAAUACCUUCUUUUACAUUACCUGGGGCACAACAAUAAAUACGUCGCUAUAUAAGGCUAAUUCCAUAGAAGGCAUUAUCAUGCCUGUAGUUGUUCUUGUGUACUGUCAUGUUUGUUGACUUAUAUUUUUAAUAGGAAGCCAUGAACAUCGUCCAUAUCAGCCAGGAGGACCAAGAUAAUGUUUUCGCAAUGGUUUCAGCUGUGCUCUGGCUUGGAGAUGUCUCUUUCACAAUUAUUGAUAAUGAAAAUCAUGUUGAGAUCACUGUAGAAGAAGGUAAAAAGAACAUGUGUGCUUUCAGUCGUUAAUAUGGUUAUAUGAACCAUAACUUCCACAAUAUUAUGGUAUCUGGUGAUGAUUUGGUUAACAUACUGUUGUAUAUCAUCAGUUUUAAAUACUGAUGGUACCUUUACUGCUGUGUAUUUUCGUCAAUUUUGUUCAAUGUUUUAGUAUAACAUACCGCAAUGUGAAGAUCUGAAAACAAAUUAGCAUUUGUAUCGCUGGCUGGUUCUAUUUUAUAAAGUUAACAAAAUAAGUUUUAUUUCAGCUGCGGAAACGGUUUCACGACUUCUUGGCUGCAGUAUUGAAGAUCUCAAUUUAGCUUUGUCAAAGCGGCACAUGAAAGUUAAUAAUGAGAAUAUUGUCCAGAAGCUUACCCUUACACAGGUUAGCAUGAUUUCUCAACUAAUGGCUAGGCAAAUUACUAGCCAUGAAGUUCUAUUUGAUUUACAUCUCUUACACAUCUACCUCUCUUUGGAUAUUGCAGGCAACUGACACACGGGAUGCUCUGGCCAAAGCACUCUAUGCCAGUUUGUUCGAGUGGCUUGUAGAACAAAUUAACAAGUCCCUUUCAGUUGGCAAGCGUCGAACUGGGAGAUCAAUCAGUAUUCUUGACAUCUACGGCUUUGAAUCAUUUGAUGUAAUGCACUUCCCUUUGGCUUGCAUUUUCACUUUUUCAUUGUCAAAUGUUUUCUCAUGAUACGCUAUCAAUUUGCAGAAAAACAGUUUUGAACAGUUCUGCAUUAAUUAUGCCAAUGAGAGGCUACAACAACAUUUCAACCGCCAUUUGUUUAAGCUUGAGCAAGAGGUGAGUUGUUGUUUGACUUUCAGGUGCAUGUUUUGCAGCAUUGCAAUUUUACUUAGUUUCUGGUACCAGCAGGUGUACAUUUUGUAGUGAUCAUUCUUGUUCUUUUAUUGACUUCACAAUACUUUCACACUACUCAGUAAAGAAAAAAAAUACUUAAAAGUUACUCCCUCCAUUCCUAAAUAUAAGUCUUUUUAGAGAUUUCAAUAUGGACUACAUACGGAUGUAUAUAAACGUAGUUUAGAGUGUAGAUUCACUCAUUUUGCUCCGUAUGUAGUCCAUAUUGGAAUCUCUAAAAAGAUUUAUAUUUAGGAACGGAGGUAGUAAAAGAGUAUUGAUGCUCCUAUUAUUCUGUGAACUUCUCUUACUGAUUAUGGCUUCAAUUUCUGUCACAACUGUAAUGUUCUUCCUUAUCUGUUGAGAUUAAAAUGUAUUGCAUGUGCUUCUUGAGAUUGCUAUUUCUAAUCCUUUAUAUUGGCUAAAUUCAGAAAGGCGAGAUUGUUGUAUAGUCACUCCACGAUUUAUUGAUUUUCUUGUAACUUUCUAAAAAUAUGUCAUUUUUGUGAUCAGGAAUAUGUUGAAGAUGGCAUUGACUGGGCUAAGGUUGAGUUUGAGGACAACCAGGAUUGCUUGAAUCUAUUUGAGAAAGUAUGGACCUGUACAUUUUCUUCAUUGUUGUCAUCAUCAAGAAACCAUAAAUAUGUUAGUCUGUGCUGGAAUGCUUUAAAUUCUGCCAGUCCUGGUGCACGUAGCUCCCCCUUGCGUAGGGUCUGUGGAAGGGUCCGAGCACUUCGGGUCUUUUGUACGCAGCCUUUCCCUACAUUUCUGCAAGCUGUUUCCAGGACUCGAACCCGUGACCUCAUUGUCACAAGGCGACAGCUUUACCGCUGCGCCAAGGCUCCCCUUCGCUUUAAAUUCUACUAGUACUUCCUUAAAAAGCACAUGCCUAUUUUAUUUGACAUAAGCAGAGGGGGAAUGCCUUUGUUUUGCUGGAAAGUGGUUAACUUGCAAAAUUCCAAGUAUAAAUUUACUGCAAGUGCUAUUUUCCCAUAGCAUUCAAUCAUUCUUAGCUAAGAGACAAAAAUUGACUACUAGAAAAAUAGAAUGUGAUAGAAGGUCUCCACAUCACUCAAAGUAAAGCCUGCAGAUUUCAGAUUGUACCAAUAUGCAAAUACUUCCAUUUUUAGGAAUACAGGGGUCCUACAAACUUGGUAAAUACUCCGUGAUUGACCCAUCCUAACGUUGUACAAGUAAAUGUAGUUACUGGUUUCUCAAACCAUGAUGAUAACUAGCAUCGGGAAAACAAGGGUGGAACAUAUAACUGGCUUAUCACAAUGGAUUCUGGGUUUCCAACCAAGGUGUAUAUUGGGUUAUGGUAUGUUUGGAUAUGGACCAAAGUGUACCCUACAAUUUUUUUUGGACAUGACCAUUGGCCUCUGUUUGGACAAAGACCAUCUUUUUGGCAUAACAAUGCUUCUUUACCAACUCUAGUUCAGUUUUCUAGCCAAUGUUGGCCAAUCAAUUGGCAAGCAAAACCUCAACCAAAAUUUUGGCUCAACUUUUCGGCAUGACAACCUUGGGCACAAACCAAACAUACCUCUUAACCUUGCUGGAGUUUAAUGACUUCUGUAGAUGUCUUGUGGCAAAAUUAAAAUAAAGAAAAUAAAACUCGCUUACUUCUCUUACUGGAUAAAAAUGUCUGGGAUUCUUUAUCUUGCUUACUUCUCUUACUGGAUACAGAAACCACUGGGGUUAUUGUCUCUGCUGGAUGAGGAAUCUACAUUCCCUAAUGCCACAGACCUUACUUUUGCAAACAAGCUGAAGCAACAUCUUGACACUAAUUCUUGCUUCAGAGGAGAAAGAGGCAAGGCUUUCACUGUCCGUCACUAUGCAGGAGAGGUUGGGAGUUGUCAAAUAUCCAGUUCUAUGUUCACAUCAGUCUUUCUUUUACCAUUUACCAACUUCAUUUCCAUUUCUUUGAUGAUUAGGUGGCGUAUGACACAUCGGGUUUUCUGGAGAAGAACAGAGAUUUAUUGCACAUGGACUCGAUUCAGUUCCUUGCCAAAUGCAAAUUAUCUAUACCACAAACGUUUGCAUCUAAGAUGCUUGCUCAAUCUGAUAAUCUAGAAUCCGUACCAUACAGGCCUAGUGUUGCUGAUUCGCAGAAGUUAAGUGUAGCAAUGAAGUUUAAGGUAAAAACCUUUGUGGCCCCAAAGUAAGUUCUAAGGAGAUCUUGAAUGAAUCAGAUCAACUGUUAACAACCGUUUGUUUAAAUGUUUCACAGGGACAAUUGUUCCAACUUAUGCAAAGACUUGAAAGCACAACACCACACUUCAUACGUUGUAUUAAACCAAAUAAUUUGCAACUCCCUGCCAUUUACGGACAAGAACUUGUGCUUCAACAACUGAAAUGCUGCGGGGUUCUUGAAGUUGUGCGCAUUUCAAGAUCUGGGUACCCAACGAGAAUGACUCAUCAGAAGUUUGCUCGGCGGUAAUUCAAAUAUCUGUAUAUCUGUAUUAUGCUUCUGAUUUUUGUUGUGUCCAAGAUGUUAACGAUUCAAGUUAUAUCAGGUAUGGUUUUCUUCUUCUUGAGGAUGUUGCGUCUCAAGAUCCACUUAGUGUUUCGGUUGCAAUUCUUCAUCAAUUCAACAUUUUGCCUGAGAUGUAUCAAGUUGGCUACACAAAGUUAUUCUUCCGAACUGGUCAGGUCAGUCAAGCAGUCUUUGUUUCAUUUAUUAACAUGCCUUUAUUGUUGUAUUCCAUACAUUAUACUGCUACUUUGUUUACACUCUCUAUUCUUCUCGUACUCACUGGGUUUCACUUUCAGUAGACAAGUAAUUAGAUAAGGAUUCCUUAUACUGCCCAAUAUUUCACAACAGGGCAGCUUAGUAAUUUGAUAUUCGGCUGAUAUGCUGGUGAUUUGCUAGUGCACUGAUUUGCUGUUGUCUAGCAAGGCCAUUAAUAAGUACAUUCAGUGAUUUGCUAGUAGAGGCAGUAAGAUACCAAAUUUAUAUAUUCUACUGUCCUAGUCGGGAUGAAUCGUACUAAGCAUACACUAAAGUAAGGAGUAAAAAAUACACAGAAAUUGGGAUCCAAAAGAUCCAGGUAGUACGGCAGCACUGAUCUAUAAACAACAAAGUUUCAUAAAUAGAAAAAACAAUAAAAUAUAUAUACAAGAAAAAUGCACCAAACAGGUAUCAAGGUAGGGAUGCUUUCCAAAGAGCAUGCCAAGAGCACAAGGGCUCACGGUUCACAAAUUUUUGAACUACAUCUGGUGUUUUGUUUAGUGAAUGACAACUGGCGCUUCUCGUUCUUCUAGUGUACACGGCAGUGUCAGUUUGGCUUGCCUUCUUUUCCUUGUGAAGCGAUGUAUUUCUGGAAAAUGCUGUAUCACCGUGUUUGUUCAUCUGUACUUUAUUGCAUAUCAGGUUGACAUAUUUUCAAGUAGAGGUGUUGGCCUAUGAUACUUAUAUGAAUUGACAUCACAUGUUUAAAGUUGCUUUCUAAAAUUUAUAAUUCAUAAUUAUGCUGUCUUUGAAGUUUGAGUGGUUAUCUAUACAUUCAUCUACUACUAAGCUUUUAAGUCACUAUCUUGUGUUGCUUCUUUUUUGGGAACUGAAGAUUGGCAACCUUGAGAAUACUCGGAAUCGUACUCUGCAUGGUGUUUUAAGGGUUCAAAGUUGUUUCCGAGGGUAUCAAGCACGGCGCCAUGCAAGUGAACGAAUCAGAGGAGUUUUGGCUCUUCAAUCAUGUACGGUAUCCAAGCCCCGCUGCUUUAUGCAUUUUACUGUAUUUCUUGUUGCUGUAUCAUUCUCUCCUGCUCAUGCUUACUGUAUGGGCUGGUUGCUCUUCACAUCUUGCAGUCAUUCGUGCUGAGAAUGCAAGGCAAAGUUAUUCAUCUCUGUUGAGGAAACAUAGGGCAGCCACUCUUGUGCAGAAAAAUCUAAGAGGCUGGCGUGCAAGAAGAUACUUCAUCAAGAUACGGAAGGCUUCAGUGGUUAUACAAUCUGGUAAGAAGAUUUUCCUCAUUCUCGUCAGACUCUGCAAAGAUAGAAGUGGCAGUAUGACUCACUAUUUCUGGUUCCCUAUUGUCUUCGCAUAAUAUGAAGGUAUCCGCGGCUGCCUUGUUAGAAGAUGCGCCGGCAAUGUCGAUCUACUGAACGUGUUGAGAGAAUUCGAGUCGAAAAAGGUACACAGCAUAUCUGUUUCUAUGCUAUCUAAAAUAUGAUGUCCAUGCUAGUAAUGUUUCUCAUUUGGAACUGCAGAAAAUUUGUUUACACUAUCUGCUCGCGCUUAAACCCAUGAAUUAAAUUAUUUCAGGAGGCAGACGGCGACCAAAUCUUGAUCAAGGCGUCUUUCCUGGCCGAGCUACAACGGCGAAUCCUUCGUGCCGAGGCGACAGUUCGAGAGAAGGACGAGGAGAACGAGAUGCUACACCAGCGGCUCCAGCAAUACGAGAACCGGUGGCUAGAAUACGAGCAGAAAAUGAAGGCGAUGGAGGAGAUGUGGCAGAAGCAGAUGCGGUCGCUGCAGUCGAGCCUGUCGGUGGCCAAGAAGAGCCUGGCCCUGGACGAGACGCCUCGGAUGUCCGACUCGUCCGUGGAGCAGAGCUGGGAGAGCAACGGGAACCACGUCGGUGGGGGCUCCUCCCAGCAGCUGGCGGCGGCGCCGCGGAUCACCGGGCGCGAGAUGAACGCCAGCAUGAGCGUCAUCGGGCGGUUGGCGGAGGAGCUUGAGCAGCGGAGCCAGGUGUUCGCCGACGACGCCAAGUUCCUGGUGGAGGUCAAGUCCGGGCAGGCGGACGCGAGCCUGAACCCGGACGUGGAGCUCCGCAGGCUGAAGCAGAACUUCGACUCGUGGAAGAAGGACUUCGGCUCCCGCAUCAGGGAGACCAAGGUGAUCCUGAACAAGCUCGCGAGCGGCGGCGGCGGCGGCGGCAACGAGUCCUCCCCCAACUCGGCCAAGCGGAAGUGGUGGGGCAGGCUCAACACCUCCAAGUUCUCGUGAGUUUCUUAUGGUGUCUGAUGAUGAUGGUGAUGGUGUAGACGCGCCGGCAUUUUACACGCCGGCGCUAGUCCUAGAGAGGUUUGUGAGUGCUGCUGCUGCGGAGUCCAGUGUUUUGGGCUGGAUGAGUAUGUGAUUCGUGGAGGGCGAGUUGUAUAGUUCUUCCACUGGGGGGCUGCUUCUUUUCCAGGCCGCCCAUGAACCACUGAGUUGUGAUGUAAUUACUUGCUAAGAUGUACUACUACUGCUUAAAAGGGGAGAGAUUGGGGAUUGCUAGUGCCAUUUUGUCUUUUGUGUAUGUAUAUGUUUGUAUGCGGUUUAGUUUAACUGCAGCCAAGUAGGCUGUGUGCAUCUAUUCAUCCAUGCAUAUGGACUUGCAUAUAUGGCCUUGCAUGUUUGUUUUGCACAAGCAGGUGUAAAUUGUUUUGAUGAAUCUGCACACGUGAUUGGUUUCAGUUCAGUCAUCCAGAAUAUCUUCACUGCUCAAGAUUAGAUAAUACUAUCAGGGAAGUUGCAACGUAGUCAAAGUAUAAUAAUUUUAGCAACUGAAUGGCAAUACAUCUUGCAACAGGUUGCAACGUAGUCAAAGUACAAUACUGUAAAUAAUUCCAGCAACUGAAUGGCAAUACAUUCCCUGUGCUCCGGCAUCGUCACCUAUAAGUUGACCAGGACGUCUUAUUUAUUUCAGCAGCGCUAACUGCGCUGCUUACAUUAUCCAAGCUUGCCAUUCAGCCGGCCUGUUCUUGCUUCAG
rnacentral:lncRNA from 1 species